AACGAACGCUGGCGGCAGGCCUAACACAUGCAAGUCGAACGGGUGUAGCAAUACAUCAGUGGCAGACGGGUGAGUAACACGUGGGAACCUUCCUCGUUGUACGGGACAACUCAGGGAAACUUGAGCUAAUACCGUAUACGUCCGAGAGGAGAAAGAUUUAUUGCAAUGAGACGGGCCCGCGUCGGAUUAGCUAGUUGGUAGGGUAAUGGCUCACCAAGGCGACGAUCGGUAGCUGGUCUGAGAGGAUGAUCAGCCACACUGGGACUGAGACACGGCCCAGACUCCUACGGGAGGCAGCAGUGGGGAAUAUUGGACAAUGGGCGCAAGCCUGAUCCAGCCAUGCCGCGUGAGUGAUGAAGGCCCUAGGGUUGUAAAGCUCUUUCGCCAGGGACGAUAAUGACGGUACCUGGAUAAGAAGCCCCGGCUAACUUCGUGCCAGCCGCCGCUGUAACAC
rnacentral:rRNA from 1 species